GAGACAGGGUCUCACUAUCUAGCCCAGGCUGUCCUCAAACACUAUGUAGCUAAGGAUAGGUUCACACCCAUGAUCUUCCUGCCCCAGUCACCCAAGGUUUAGAAUUACAAGCAUGAAUCACAGUGCUGACUACACCUUUCCUCUUGAUCACUGGUUUUGCAUAUUUGAUUUUGGUUUUCGUGGCAUCGUCUGCAUUUUGUCAAGUGUUCAUAAAGUGUUGAGCUGGAUGAAGGGACUGGAUAGAGUGUAUCCACAGGAUGUUCAUGCCCAGAAUGUACAUACACUACCAAUUCAUUGAGUCUUAAAACAACCACUAAGAAAUCAUGAUGUGGAUAUCUAUUUAAGCAUUAACAGCAACAUAGGCACCUGUAACUUGGAGCUUGUAAAAGUCAGAGGCAAAUGGAGAGUAAAUGGUUUAUUGGCAUGGAAUCGUUUUAUCCACUGCCAUUGUUGAACUUUUCUGGAAAUACAGAAAAAAAACAAACAUGGCAGAAGUUGUAUAUGUUCAUGUAUUGUUUCAGCCACGCAUCUAAAAAUAGCAGAAAUAUAAAAUAAAACUUAAAACUCAAGAGUUGAUACCUGAGGCUCGUGUCAUCUUAUCUCCUCUGCUAAAGCAAUACUAGAAAGACCAAUUAGAGGGCAAAGAGGAGAAAGAAUAAAAAUAACUGUAAGAAACUUAUAAAAAUUAGAAGUUUAUGAGCAGUAGUAUUUGCUUCUUAAGUUUUCAUAGUUAUUUCAUAACUAUAUAAUAGUCGUGUGUUCUUUAUGGAAAAUGUAAUGGUUUCACAAAUUUUGGACUGGUGUGUUUAUGGACAUCACGGUGGGAAACAGGCAUUUUCUGUGUUUUUGUUUGUUUGUGGCUCAUGUAAUUUGGGGGUAUUUCACCUUAUCACCCAACAGAUUUUGUCACUUUACCAGUGAAAAUUUGAAAUUCUAAUCUAAUUUUUAAACAAGAGAAUGUAAGGCAUUCAGAUAUCCAAAAUAGUAAAUGUGUAAUGUGGUCAGUCAGUCUUAGAAUCCUUCAAGUUUUCAGACUUUUCAAAAGCAAGAAUAUAUUUUGGGAAGCUUUAGGAAAUACAUCCUAUUUUCCUAUCAUUUUUAAUUUGCCUCCCUUAAGCCCUAUGAAGUACAUAAGUUUAUUAUUUUCACCGAAGCCACCACAUGGUUUUGUGUGCUUGUCUUUUAUAUGAGUGUAAUGCCCUCUUUUCAGCUCUUCAUGAAUGAUUGAGUUACAAUUAAGACAUUCUCUGUUGCUUUUAAAAUCAAAUACAUUUAUGGACAUCUCACCAGAGUGUGAAAAAUGACAAUGAAAUAUGAAAGGAUUGUGUGAUAUUCUUUUUACAUCUGAAGACAACAUUCAUACAAUUAAAACAUUAAAAUAAAUUUCCUCUUUUAACACUUU
rnacentral:lncRNA from 1 species